rnacentral:snRNA from 1 species
AUACCUUUCUCGGCCUUUUGGCUAAGAUCAAGUGUAGUAUCUGUUCUUAUCAGUUUAAUAUCUGAUAUGUGAACCAAUGGUUCACACGAUAUUAAAUUUAUUUUUUGAGGGGGAGAGUCCACUACAAUAGCUUGCUAUUGGGCCUCUCGAGUGUCGCUUUUGUGUUACACUAUUGCAAUUGCUUGGCAUACCCCAC